CCUACGGGAGGCUGCAGUGGGGAAUAUUGGACAAUGGGGGCAACCCUGAUCCAGCCAUGCCGCGUGUGUGAAGAAGGCCCUCGGGUUGUAAAGCACUUUCAGUGAGGAAGAACGCCUGGUGGUUAAUACCCAUCAGGAAAGACAUCACUCACAGAAGAAGCACCGGCUAACUCCGUGCCAGCAGCCGCGGUAAUACGGAGGGUGCGAGCGUUAAUCGGAAUUACUGGGCGUAAAGCGCGCGUAGGUGGCUUGAUAAGCCGGUUGUGAAAGCCCCGGGCUCAACCUGGGAACGGCAUCCGGAACUGGCGAGCUUGAGUGCAGGAGAGGAAAGUAGAAUUCCCGGUGUAGCGGUGAAAUGCGUAGAGAUCGGGAGGAAUACCAGUGGCGAAGGCGGCCUUCUGGACUGACACUGACACUGAGGUGCGAAAGCGUGGGUAGCAAACAGGAUUAGAUACCCUAGUAGUC
rnacentral:rRNA from 1 species